CUGGGAACAUCACAGCGAUGGGUGUGCUCCCUACUGCAAUCUAAUAAGACCCGCAUCACUGAUUCUGCAAAAUAUGUCUUCAUUUCGUAUCUUUUAUUCCUCUCCCCUGAGAAGAGAGUAGUCUUCUCUUAAGGGCAUUGGAUUUUCAGAAUCUACACAAUUACACAACAUAGAGGGAGAUAAAAGAAGAUAACGGAAACUUGGGAUUGCUGAAUAUAAAAUGCCCAAUGUCUGCCUGAACGUUGCCAUGCUUCCAGCCAUGAGGAUAUAGGAGUAGACCUCUGCAGCCAUAAGACAAACCCAUAACCUUCAUCUGGCGUUGGAUGGAGAUAGAGACAGAGACCCACAUUGGAG